CAACAAUCUCUGCCUGGGUGCUCAUCGUUCCUGACACAACUCGACAUUUUCUGGGCAGCCCCCGUGAGACAGGUUGUGGUGCAGGCAGGAGAAGGGUGGCUGUGCUGAUUCACUCUGCCUCUCCAGUUCUGACCAAUCUUCUAUUUCAACUCUGGGAUUCUUUCUUUAAUCUUCAUCUUCUGAAAGGGUGGACUACACGUUCCACCUCAUGCCUGUACCACAAG
rnacentral:lncRNA from 1 species